rnacentral:rRNA from 1 species
UGGGGAAUAUUGGACAAUGGGCGCAAGCCUGAUCCAGCCAUGCCGCGUGAGUGACGAAGGUCUUCGGAUUGUAAAGCUCUUUUGGCGGGGACGAUAAUGACGGUACCCGCAGAAUAAGCCCCGGCUAACUUCGUGCCAGCAGCCGCGGUAAUACGAAGGGGGCUAGCGUUGUUCGGAAUCACUGGGCGUAAAGCGCACGUAGGCGGACUUAUAAGUCAGGGGUGAAAUCCCGGGGCUCAACCUCGGAACUGCCUCUGAUACUGUGAGUCUCGAGACCGGAAGAGGUGAGUGGAAUUCCUAGUGUAGAGGUGAAAUUCGUAGAUAUUAGGAAGAACACCAGUGGCGAAGGCGGCUCACUGGUCCGGUUCUGACGCUGAGGUGCGAAAGCGUGGGGAGCAAACAGGAUUAGAUACCCACGUAGUCCCUGAGCGGGCUGGCAAGGCGCAU